GGCGUUAUCAAACGCCGUGAUCGAAUUCAUGCGCUGCAUGGUUCGGGGCGAGGCGAGCCUCGGGUUUGUUGCGAAUGCAACCGUUGCAAGGAGGUCCUGCAACGCUGCAGUUUCGGAAGAAACACGAGUCGCCCGUCCCUUGUCCAGGUGAUAUGCUUUCGAUUGCGUGCGCGGUGUUACACCAAGGAUCCGUCGUUCCGACGACGGCGAGCUGGAAGCGCCGCAACCACCCGAUGUGUUGGAAGGGUGAAGAGACGGUCCUCCAGGAGAUUUGUUCGGCGCAGACGCGUGCACCCGCAUGUCAUGCGGAGCCAGGACCCCCUCGUCGCCCGAUAUUUCUCCUCGGAUACCGUUCGCUCUUUCGAUGCAUGGGGCGGGGACCCAUCUCCUCUCAAUGCACGCCCCAUUCGGCGAGGCGCGUCCUCCCGAUUCGCGGGUUUGCAACGGGCGGGAUGUGUCAAAAUCAACACAUAGGUGCAACGCGCCUUCGAAAUCCAAACACUUUGGCGUUUGCGAGCACCUUGCGUGUCCGCCUCGCCGAAAAGACAAUAAAAAUUGCAAUCAAAUACGACUCUCGGCAACGGAUAUCUCGGCUCUCGCCACGAUGAAGAAUGUAGCGAAAUGCGAUACUUAGUGUGAAUUGCAGAAUCCCGUGAAUCAUCGAGUCUUUGAACGCAAGUUGCGCCCGAGGCUUCGGCCGAGGGCACGUCUGCUUGGGCGUCGCACUCUACAAUCGCCCUCCGGCUCGGCUCGGAGGAGCGCAGAUGGCCAUCCGUGCCCACCAACGGUGCGGUCGGCUGAAAUGAGCACGAGGUCCGAUAACUCGUUGCGACGAGCGGUGGCCUUGACAGGUCGGCGUUGGUUUGCGCGGGUCUGUAACUCGGGCGAGUGAAGAACUUUGAUCGGCUUUCAACGGCUCGCUAGUGCUCUGGCGAGUCCGUUGGGCCGCUACCGCGUCCCCAAGUCAGGCGUGAMUACCCGCUGAGUUUAAGCC
rnacentral:rRNA from 1 species